UGAACAUAAGAACAUGUUUCUUAACUUUUAACUAAAAAAAUUAAGAACCAGUUCUUAAAUAAAAGUUUUAAGAACCGGUUCUUAGCUUUUGUAGUUAAAAGUUAAAAACGAGUUCUUAUAUUCC
rnacentral:pre_miRNA from 1 species